AAACGCCAAAGAAGAAGAGAAAGUCGCGCCAGAACUUCAAAGAUAAUCAAUUCUCUGCACACCUGCGUGACCCCCUACGAAGUUGAUUUCAUUUUCGACAGAGGGACGUUUUGCCUUAUUGUCUGGUAAAGGUCGUUAAUGAAAGUUGUUCUGUGUUCCUGCCAAGGUGCUUUACUCACAGGAGGUGGAAGCAGAAUUUCUGAGGAUUACCACUGUUCCCCUCGUAACAACUUUUUUUGGACAACUUGACCACCACGCUGAUCAGCUCAUCAGAGUGCUGAAGAAGACUGGUGGAUCAAAAGGAAAUAGAAUUAACCUCACCUUUGCCCCGACUGCACAGAAUGAAACUGUUGAAAAGAGGGAGUGCCUCCUUAAGGCACUUUGUCUCUAUUUAAAUGAGGAUCCAAGCAGUCUCUUCAAAGAGUAUCUGGAUUCAGAUGGCUGUUCUGCGGAGAGAGACCUUGAACAAGUUGUCUUUGGCAUCUACAGCAUUAAUGUUGAGGGAGCUGAUGCCACCACCAAGCCAGCUGAUGUUGGAAUAGUGAUCGAGGGUGUUGAAGUGCUUCACGACUUGAGACAUCGCUUCUGCAUGUGCACUCUUAAUGGGUGUCAUAUAUGCAAUGAACCUCAGUUAUCCUCAGGAACUGAAAACAUUUUUUGAGGUGCUUCAGAAAAUCUUCCUCCAGCUGGAUGCUACCAGGCUCUCAACCAAGGCCCUGUAUGAGAAGGCUAGCUGUUAUGAUAUCCUGGUGGUGGUGUUUGGAGCACGAAGUGUGGACUGCAGUCUGAUCACUCACUCCACUGGUGUG